CAAAGUGUAUUUCUUCUUCAAAGAGUACGGUGGCUUUUAACUUUGAGACAUGGUUAUGACCAAAAAAGGAUUAUGAAUGCUUCCUUUUCUUCUUCAACUGAACGCUUCUUCUUCUUCUUCAACAGAGAGUGCUUCUUCUUCAAGAAUUAGAAAAAUUGAGAGAGAGAGAGAGAGAGAGAGAGAGAGAGAGAGAGAGAGAGACUGCUCUGAUACCUGAUCGAAAACAGAGAAGAAGCAAUAGAUUUUGAUGAUCGAAAACAGAGAAGAAGCAAUAGAUUUUGAUGAUCGAAAACAGAUAAGAAGCAAUAGAUUUUGAAAGGGGUUCCGGUAACGAGUAAGAGGUUUUUCAUUUUUCUUCGCUGUUGUAUAUUUUGAAGAAGAUUGACCCUCUUUUUAUAGGAGCUAAACCUAUUAUCUCCACACCCUUCGGUUCCGCCCCACGAGAGAUUUCUCUCAACAAACCAUUCCACGAUCCCACGUUUUCUCAUCCCCGCCAAAUCCAACCUCUCAGAACCCUAGCCCUAAUUCCCCCUUCACUCCCUCUCCCCUCUCGCCUAACCCAAAACCCUAGGUCCUUCUCGUCGCACGGCUCCGCAAACCCUAGCUUCUAUCCCGAAGAUCUCGGAAUCAAUGGAGUUGACGAUUCCAGCAAGGUCUCAGCUUGUAGUUUCGAAGAAACCAAUGAAAGCCGUAAAAAGGCGACGCCUUUGGCGAAAUCCCCGACAAAUUGGGCGAUUCUCGAGGAAGGGAUCAGUACCGAGCAAGUGCAGAGCGUUGUGUCCAUUUUGAAGGCCAACGCCGAAGAGGCGAUUGGGUUGAGCUUGGAUAAGUUGGAGUUUGCGGUGAAAGUGAUCGAAGCCUCGGAUAAUGUCGGUGAGAAUUUGAUUGAGUUCUUCAAACGGGCUUUGAAGAGUGAGAAACCUGUGAGAACUUCGAGAACUACAUAGAGCUUUUUGUUCAGUCUGUUAAGAGUUUACCUGCUCUCAGUACGAAGUAAGCUUACAUCUUAUGGGAUUUGGUUAAGGAGUUGGGCGAGGAGAAAGAGCUUCUAAAUACUGAGAUUCUUAAUGGGUUGACUUCCAUUUCCUGGAAAUUGAAAAAAGGUAAAUCAGCCUAUGAAGUUUUCAAUAAGUUUGAUGAGUCUGGUUGUAGUCCUAAUGCAGAAGUUUAUUAUUACACCAUUCAAUCUCUUACUAAGAGAUGGAUGUCCGCAACUGCAUGGUCGAUCUGUUUGUGAGGAUAUGAUAAAUUCUGGGAGCCUACCUGACAAGGGGAAGAUUGGAGAGAUUAUGAAUUUCUUUUGCGAGGCAAACAAGGCAAAAGAAGCCCAUUUGGUUUAUUUGACGGCGGAGGAGAAGAAUUUAUCUCCACCAAGAUCUAGUGUGGAUGUAUUAAUUCGCAGGCUUGCGCUAAAUGAUGAAACGGUUUCUUUAGCUUUGGAGUUGCUUGGGAACUAUCCGAUCAACUCAUUUAAACCCGCGACGAAGACUUUUCCUGCCAUUGUUAAUGGAAUGUGUAAGGUUAAGAAAAGCGAGGAGGUAAAAAAAAUUGCUAUUGAGAAUAGUUGAAUCAGGCCAGACUCCAAGGAAAGCUUAUUUCAAUAUUGCGAUUAACGCGCUUUCUAAAGAAGGAGAACUCGAGGAUGCGGUAGCUUUGUUGAAAAUAAUGGAGGGUAGAGGAUCACGGCCAGAUGUAUGUACUUAUACCGUUGUGACGGGUGGAUAUGCAGAGGGCGGUUGGAUGGAUGAGGCUUAUAAGAUCUUUUGUGAAGCCAAGAAAAGACAUGCUGAGCUUAGCCCUGCUGCUCAUCAUAUUCUUACUCGUGGCUAUUGCGAAAUCGGGGAGUUUGAAAGGGCCCUUGAUUGCUUGAAGGAAAUGAAGGAGCACGGCGUACAUCAGAGGAUUGGCGUACAUCAGAGAAACUCUUGGAGGAGAUGAAAGAGUUUGGUUUGUAUCUUAAGGGGGCAACUCGUUGAAGCUUGACCUCCUCUAAAGCCUGUUGAAGUUUAUACUUUCACAUUACCGAUUUUAUCCUCUUUCGUUUUGUGCUAGCGGCUACUUGUUCUAGUGAGCUGUAUAUACGUCUGUCUGAAUACCUCUAGCUGAGAGAGGAAACAGUUUGGAACUCUUUGCACCUUCACUUCCAUUUAAUUCAUUUCAUUUUCUUCCAUCAGUUUAUACUCAAUAUUGCGCAUGAUUGGCGCCGCUUGCUUUUUAUAUAUAACGGUGUCCUUUAUACUAACUCUUCUGCUUCCUGAUAUUAUUGUGUGAUUAGUGUGUCACUUUUGUUGAAUUCAUUCUGGUAAAGAAGGAUUUUUGUAGUCGAAUUUGUUCUGCUUACUCUCAGGAUAACUUCUGUUGUAAUAACAAAGACUGUAAAAUGAAGAGCGAGAGAGUCGAAAGGCAAUCGAGGAAUCUAGAACUGAAGGCCACGAAGCCGCAGCUUAUCUUCAAGAAAAGGCGAAGAGAUCACUCCUUUUGUGAAGGCAGCCACCAAAGAGGGUGCGAAUACAGGAAAAAUUCGAAGCUGGCAAAAUAGCUUUGGUCGGUCGACUGAUUUCUUAGACCAGUCAACCGAUAACAUGCACGCGGGAACUGUGAAAAUCGUCGCACUGGACAAUCGACUGAUGAACCAUUACCGGUCGACUAAUGAUGGACUACCGGUUGGCUAAUGAUGCUUCAUCAGUCGACCGAUAGCGGGUUAUUGGGCCGAAUCUGUUUCCUUGUCUGUUUUGGUUUAGGGUUUUAUAGUAGAAACACGUUUUGUUAGGGUUUUAAGAUCAGAAAAAUAGAGUUGUCUAAGCACUUUGAGAGGGAGAUUAUUGAGAGGGAGUGAGAUCUUGUUGGUUAGGAUUAUUGUGA